CAAGAACUCUCAAAAAUCUCUGCACUUUUUACUCCCCUUUUUCUCUUUUAAAGUGAAGAAUUUUUGCUUCCAAGGCUGAAUUGUAAUCGGAGAACGCACAAGCUCAUCAUCAAUCAUCAAUCAUCAAGGUAAUCAUGCUUAGAAAUCAAGACAUGCUCAUAUAGGAAUGCCUAGCUAUUAAAAUAAACAAGAUUUAGUAAUUUUUCUUUCAUAAACGAGUUGUUUAAUUUGUUUAGUUGUUUGUUGAGUUUGAUUCAAAAACAAUGUAAAUUAAAUAUUUCAACAUAAUAGUAAAUUUUCCUUUCA